GGCUCGAUAACUUAGUUGGUGAAGCAUUCGUUUAGCAUACAAGAGUCGUGGGUUCGAAUCCCACCUGAGCAC
rfam:Aedes aegypti strain Liverpool supercont1.116 genomic scaffold, whole genome shotgun sequence.